rnacentral:rRNA from 1 species
GAUGAACGCUGGCGGCGUGCUUAACACAUGCAAGUCGAACGGGAUCCAAGGGGUGCUUGCCCUUUUUGGUGAGAGUGGCGAACGGGUGAGUAACACGUGAGUAACCUGUCCUUUUCUUUGGGAUAAGCAUUCGAAAGGGUGUUUAAUACCUUAUGUUCUGUCUGCCUCGCAUGGGGUGGGUGGGAAAGGCUUUGGCCGGAUUUGGGUGGGCUCGCGGUCUAUCAGCUUGUUGGUGGGGUGAUGGCUUACCAAGGCUUUGACGGGUAGCCGGCCUGAGAGGGUGGGCGGUCACAUUGGGACUGAGAAACGGCCCAGACUCCUGCGGGAGGCAGCAGUGGGGGAUAUUGCACAAUGGGCGAAAGCCUGAUGCAGCGACGCCGCGUGGGGGAUGAAGGCCUGCGGGUUGUAAACUUCUGUUGCUCUGAACAAGGCAUGCCAGUGGGUGUGUGGAGUGUAGGGGUUGAUUAGCGCCGGCUAACUACGUG